rnacentral:lncRNA from 1 species
UGGGCAUGGUAACCUCCGCUUUGCUGGAACUGACUUCUAGGUUCACAUCCUGGCUCUGCCGCUUAGAAGCUACGUGAUCUUUUUUGGCAAGCGAUUUAACCCGACGGAACGGAACGUGUUUUGUCAUGAGGAAAUGAAAAAAUAAACAGCAUCAGGAGGUUGCAGCGAGGACUAACAAAGGUCAUAUAUAUGGGAAGUGUUUGACACAGCGUCUUGUCCACUAGAAAGAAGUACAUCUUUCCCAGGAUAUGCAGAGAAUCAGACUUGGAGUAUAUGCAACCAGAAACAAUGCUCAAAUCGUUCUAAAGGAUUUUGCCAGGAAGACACCACGGCUGUUGCUGCUGGACAGACAUUGCAGCUUAAACUGUUCAUGUUGAGCACUGCAUAUCCCUGCAGGGCCACCACUACUGUGGCCUCAGUAAACAUCCCCUGUGUGUCUCUGCCCCAGCUCUGUUCCUGCCAUAUUAGAUUCCUUCACGUUCAAAUCAAAGUCUUGUGUGGGAGCACCUGAUUGGCAGAGCUGGGUCACAUGCACGUGCCCUAGCUGCAAGGGAGGUUGGGAAAGCAAGGUUCUGGCUUCUCCCUUGGGAAGCCUCAGACUCAAGAUGGACAAUCUUGAGGUAGAAAGGUAGAGAGAAGAUUAAAGUGGUAGGAGAGGAAGACAGCUGGAAGCAGGAAAAGAACCAGAGACGAGAGUAACCAGUGGCACAGUAAGGGUGGAGCACUAGCGAAAUGAUCACAAAUUCUCACUGCUCCAGCAACUUGCUAGAGCCAUCUUGGACCCAGAGACACUAUCCAGCUUCCGUCUUCAUAAACCCCAGGGUCUUGGGUUUUCCUGAGCUUCCGUGUCACUUGUUGUCCUAAAUUUACCUUUAUGCAACCUCUCCCCCAAUAAUUUGGCCAAUCUGUGGCAUAUUUUGCUUUCCCAGGGCGCCUGGGUGGCUCAGUCGGUUAGGCAUCCAACUCUUGAUUUCGGCUCAAGUCAUGAUCUCAUGAUUCGUGAAAUUGAGCCCCACAUCGGGCUCUGGGCAGACAGCAUGGAGCCUGCUUGGGAUUUUCUCUCUCCUUCUCUCUCUCUGCCCCUCUCCCCACCUCCAAACAAAUAAAUAAAGUGUGGUUUUUUUAAAUGUGUUUUUUAAAAGUGUAUU